rnacentral:rRNA from 1 species
GACGAACGCUGGCGGCGUGCUUAACACAUGCAAGUCGAACGGAAAGGCCCUGCUUUUGUGGGGUGCUCGAGUGGCGAACGGGUGAGUAACACGUGAGUAACCUGCCCUUGACUUUGGGAUAACUUCAGGAAACUGGGGCUAAUACCGGAUAGGAGCUCCUGCUGCAUGGUGGGGGUUGGAAAGUUUCGGCGGUUGGGGAUGGACUCGCGGCUUAUCAGCUUGUUGGUGGGGUAGUGGCUUACCAAGGCUUUGACGGGUAGCCGGCCUGAGAGGGUGACCGGCCACAUUGGGACUGAGAUACGGCCCAGACUCCUACGGGAGGCAGCAGGGGGGAAUAUUGUACAAUGGGCGGAAGCCUGAGGCAGAAACGCUGCGUGCGGGAUGACGGCCUUCGGGUUGUAAACCGCUUUCGCCUGUGACGAAGCGUGAGUGACGGUAAUGGGUAAAGAAGCACCGGCUAACUACGUG